UACAGAGGUGGCAAGCGUUGUUCGGAAUUACUGGGCGUAAAGCGUGCGCAGGCGGUUUGCUAAGACAGGUGUGAAAUCCCCGGGCUUAACCUGGGAACUGCGCUUGUUACUGGCAGGCUUGAGUGUGGCAGAGGGGGGGUGGAAUUCCACGUGUAGCAGUGAAAUGCGUAGAGAUGUGGAGGAACACCGAUGGCGAAGGCAGCCCCCUGGGCUAACACUGACGCCUCAUGCACGAAAGCGUGGGGAGCAAACAGG
rnacentral:rRNA from 1 species